rnacentral:rRNA from 1 species
AUACGGAGGGUGCAAGCGUUAAUCGGAAUUACUGGGCGUAAAGCGCGCGUAGGCGGCAUUGUAAGUCGGAUGUGAAAGCCCCGGGCUCAACCUGGGAAUUGCAUUCGAUACUGCAGAGCUAGAGUAUGGUAGAGGGAAGUGGAAUUUCCGGUGUAGCGGUGAAAUGCGUAGAUAUCGGAAGGAACACCAGUGGCGAAGGCGACUUCCUGGGCCAAUACUGACGCUAAGGUGCGAAAGCGUGGGGAGCAAACAGGAUUAGAAACCCCAGUAGUCC